UACGAAGGGGGCUAGCGUUGCUCGGAAUGACUGGGCGUAAAGGGCGCGUAGGCGGAUGGCACAGUCAGAUGUGAAAUUCCCGGGCUUAACCUGGGGGCUGCAUUUGAUACGUGUUGUCUUGAGUUCGGAAGAGGAGUGUGGAAUUCCCGGUGUAGCGGUGGAAUGCGCAGAUAUCGGGAGGAACACCCGUGGCGAAGGCGGCACUCUGGGACGGUACUGACGCUGAGACGCGAAAGCGUGGGGAGCGAACAGG
rnacentral:rRNA from 1 species